UGGGGGAUAUUGCACAAUGGAGGAAACUCUGAUGCAGCGACGCCGCGUGAGGAAGACGUCUUCGGAUUGUAAACCUCUGUCUUUGGGGAAGAAAAUGACGGUACCCAAAGAGGAAGCUCCGGCUAACUACGUGCC
rnacentral:rRNA from 1 species